ACGAACGCUGGCGGCGUGCCUAAUACAUGCAAGUAGGACGCACAGUUUAUACCGUAGCUUGCUACACCAUAGACUGUGAGUUGCGAACGGGUGAGUAACGCGUAGGUAACCUGCCUAUUAGAGGGGGAUAACUAUUGGAAACGAUAGCUAAUACCGCAUAACAGUAUGUAACACAUGUUAGAUGCUUGAAAGAUGCAAUUGCAUCGCUAGUAGAUGGACCUGCGUUGUAUUAGCUAGUAGGUAGGGUAAAGGCCUACCUAGGCAACGAUACAUAGCCGACCUGAGAGGGUGAUCGGCCACACUGGGACUGAGACACGGCCCAGACUCCUACGGGAGGCAGCAGUAGGGAAUCUUCGGCAAUGGGGGGAACCCUGACCGAGCAACGCCGCGUGAGUGAAGAAGGUUUUCGGAUCGUAAAGCUCUGUUGUUAAGGAAGAACGAGUGUGAGAAUGGAAAGUUCA
rnacentral:rRNA from 1 species